UUUAAUGGGUGAGAAAGUAGUGGCAGAGCUGGUGAGUAACUUGUCCAGGCUCCUCUGUUGAAGGACUGUCUCUGAGCAUCACGAAUCUCCACGUGAGGCUGGCCACCUCGCACCACCUGCAGCCGUUCUUCCAUGCUGUGGCCCAAACUCUUGCUUUCUGGGAAGCAGAACUUGGAUUUGAAGGGUGGCAGAGAGACACGAGAGACCUGGAGAGAAGGGCCACCCGGGGCGCAGGUGCAUUUGGUCAGCAGAAAGGCAGGACCGGAGAUCUGCACGGGACACGGGAGAGAGGCUGAACUGUAGGAAAGAGUAGCUAACCAUGUCAGGAGCACGUUUCUCAAAUUGGCCACGACGAACCCCCGGAGUGAUCAUGAUGGAGAAAAGACCACAAUUAGAAGACAGUGAGAGGAGCUUCAAAGGACUCCAUUGGCUUCCUCUAGCUCUGUAAAAAGUCCAAGAGAUAGGUUUCCCGAGCCAUCUGGAGCUCCUUUUCGGCAGGGUUGAGUCUAGUCUAUACUCCGCAGGAGGAAGUCGCUUGCGUAGUUGGAGACGUCUCCUGUGCAUUGGAGCCAGUGGCUUGAUGUCAACCUUGCUGGAGAACAAACCUAGUUUUACACCAACCUGUUGAAAAGAAGUCUUCCCACUGCUUAGGCAGACUUUGACAGGGAUGGACGCCUAGAGCUCAAAUAACUGUAGGGCCCUGAAGACAUGUUCUCAGCGAAUUUCUAAGAAGAAAUAUGAACAGAAGAGAAUAUAGAUGAAGAGGUUUUGAAACUUAUUCCCACAUGAUAUAGGAAAAAGAAAAGACAAUGCUAAUAAAGUUUUUAGAAGGUGAGGUAGUAUGAAUUUUAUUCAAAAGCGUUUACCUCCACAACUUUUUACUCACAGUUGGAUAUGUAGUGACUAUUACGUGUAUUAUAGUUUACAGAUUUGUUCAAAAUUGAAAAAUAUUUCUAUCGGUAGUAUUUCAUCUACAAAGUUAGAUUAACGUCUAAACAUUACAUAAACUUCUUCAGUGGGGUAGUUACUUAUUGUCAGCUGGUCACAAAAUGUGAUAACCAAAUUUGGAU
rnacentral:lncRNA from 1 species